AUUGAACGCUGGCGGAAUGCUUUACACAUGCAAGUCGAACGGCAGCACGGACUUCGGUCUGGUGGCGAGUGGCGAACGGGUGAGUAAUGUAUCGGAACGUGCCCAGUCGUGGGGGAUAACGUAGUGAAAAUUACGCUAAUACCGCAUACGAUCUAUGGAUGGAAGCGGGGGAUCGCAAGACCUCGCGCGAUUGGAGCGGCCGAUAUCAGAUUAGGUAGUUGGUGGGGUAAAGGCCCACCAAGCCAACGAUCUGUAGCUGGUCCGAGAGGACGACCAGCCACACUGGAACUGAGACACGGUCCAGACUCCGACGGGAGGCAGCAGUGGGGAAUUUUGGACAAUGGGCGAAAGCCUGAUCCAGCCAUUCCGCGUGCAGGAUGAAGGCCCUCGGGUUGUAAACUGCUUUUGUACAGAACGAAAAGGUUUCUACUAAUACUAGGAGCUCAUGACGGUACUGUAAGAAUAAGCACCGGCUAACUACGUGCCAGCCGCCGCAGUAA
rnacentral:rRNA from 1 species